UUUUUAUUGGGAUUACAGAAACUUGGAAAAGGAGACUGGCGUGGGAUAGCACGUAAUUAUGUUGUAUCUAGGACACCUACACAAGUGGCAAGCCAUGCUCAAAAGUAUUUUAUUAGGCAGACCAAUGUAUCAAGACGAAAGAGGCGCUCCAGUUUGUUUGAUAUUGUUGCUGAUGAAGUUUGUAUUCUCUAUCCAUCCAUUCUUAAAUGCAUAAUGUGUCCAAACUUUUAGCUCUACUAAAGUACAAACAUUCUAGUUGUGCAGUUCAUCUAGUCUCCAGUUAUAGAAAUGAAUAAUCUAUCAUUAACUUUACCCCAUCUGCCAAUUACCUUGCCUUCUUCCGUAAUAAAAUCCUUGAAUGAAGAUGCUAAUUUUUCAGUUUUAUGCAUGUAUGCCAAUUAUGUAAUGUGAUUAGACUUAUCAUUUUUACUCUUUUAUGCAUGUAUGUAAAUUAAGUAAUACGUUUAGCCUUGUUACUUUUACUUUUCUCAUACCAAUUACUGAUUCUCUUUCCCUUUCCCACAAUUAUGCAGCGUGUCGAGAAUUCCAUUGUGCAGCAAGACUUCCUAUCUGCCAACAGUUCACAUGCUGAAUCACAAAGCAAUAACCCAUUGCCUACACCACCUACUACUGUGGAUGAAGA
rnacentral:lncRNA from 1 species